UACGUAGGGUGCAAGCGUUUGUCCGGAAUUAUUGGGCGUAAAGAGCUCGUAGGCGGUCUGUCGCGUCUGCUGUGAAAACCUGGGGCUUAACCCCGGGCCUGCAGUGGGUACGGGCAGACUAGAGUGCGGUAGGGGAGACUGGAAUUCCUGGUGUAGCGGUGAAAUGCGCAGAUAUCAGGAGGAACACCUGUGGCGAAGGCGGCUUUCUGGGCCUUACCUGACGCUGAGACGCGAAAGCGUGGGGAGCGAACCGG
rnacentral:rRNA from 1 species